GCUGUAAGGAUGAUUCAGAAUGGAACUGCAAAGCAAAGCAAAACCUUCUUUCUGCAUUCUGCAACUCAGAUGCAGAUGGAUGUUAUUAGAAAGGUUUUUAUUUUGAAUGUGCGCGGCUUGUCCACAUGGCUGAGAUUAGUGCUCAAUACUCAUAUAAUACUUUUCAUCCUCAAAAGGACUUUACAAGCUCCAGCCUUCAAAAUGUCCCCACAAGAUUAUUGGGGUUUUUUCCCCACUGAAUGAAUACUUGCAUAGUUAUAUAUCAAUUGAAUGAAGGACUCUGCAGAAUCUCAGGAAAGAUGUGGAGUGUAACUGAACUCUCUUGUGUGUCAGAAUACUUUGACAUUCCAUCUUAUCUCCCUCUUGUUUCCCUGGUAAAGGUAUCUGGCCCCACAAAGUACUCUGGAGAAAAAGGAAAAGCGAGUUAAUUUCUGGCUUUAUGACUACUAUACAGUGUUUCAGGAAGAAGAAUCUAACUUCAUACCUGAGUGCAGUGGUAAUGUAAGGGCUUGAGGUAACAUUGUUAACUACUCACACCAACGGAAUGAAGUUAUACAGCUCACUUCCACCUGAGAAAAUAACUAUUUUAACAGUUCGUGCAUCGCUAACAAGACACAGAUGUCACCAUUGGGCAAAAAGGGAAGAAGAAGCUUAGGCAGAUGUCGACAUAAGAUCUGGGCUACACCUUCCCAGUGGGGGUACCAGGAUAGAAGACCUCCCAUCAUUGCUUUUAGUCCUGAGGGUACAGCAGACCUGUACCUUGGUCACAAGCACAGAGGAAGUUUGGUAGUUGUUCCUGAGCUUCAGAAAUACACGCUUGACCUUCAAGAGUUGCUGCUAAUUUGUUCAGUGCUCACACAGUGUGUAGCAUAGGCCUUCUGCUAUGCCUCCUGGGUGCUGCUGCAGUACAGACACCUUUCCUUUUGUUUGGGCACCUUUAUCAAUACAGCUGAAGGGAACACUGUGUGGACUGUAAAUUCCUCUCCAAGAUCAUGUAAAUACUUGGAUGGUACAUGCUGUUGCUCCUAGUGUUAAUUUAACUAGCUAAAGCUGGUUUGCACACAUCUGCAGCUACAGUAGAAGUUCAAUGUUAAAUAUUUCCAAGUGUAGG